rnacentral:rRNA from 1 species
GCAGUAGGGAAUAUUGGGCAAUGGGCGAGAGCCUGACCCAGCCAUGCCGCGUGCAGGAUGAAGGCUUUCUGAGUCGUAAACUGCUUUUGCCAGGGAAGAAAAAAGCGGAUGCGUCCGCUACUGACGGUACCUGGUGAAUAAGCACCGGCUAACUCCGUGCCAGCAGCCGCGGUAAUACGGAGGGUGCAAGCGUUGUCCGGAUUUAUUGGGUUUAAAGGGUGCGUAGGCGGCUGAUUAAGUCUGGGGUGAAAGCCCGUUGCUCAACAACGGAACUGCCCUGGAAACUGGUUAGCUUGAGUACAGACGAGGGUGGCGGAAUGGAUGCUGUAGCGGUGAAAUGCAUAGAUAGCAUCCAGAACCCCGAUUGCGAAGGCAGCUGCCUAGACUGUAACUGACGCUGAGGCACGAAAGCGUGGGGAGCGAACAGGAUUAGA